rnacentral:rRNA from 1 species
AACGAACGCUGGCGGCAUGCCUAACACAUGCAAGUCGAACGAUGCCUUCGGGCAUAGUGGCGCACGGGUGCGUAACGCGUGGGAAUCUGCCUUUCGGUUCGGAAUAACUCAGGGAAACUUGAGCUAAUACCGGAUAACGUCGCAAGACCAAAGAUUUAUCACCGAAAGAUGAGCCCGCGUAGGAUUAGCUAGUUGGUGAGGUAAAGGCUCACCAAGGCGACGAUCCUUAGUUGGUCUGAGAGGAUGAUCAGCCACACUGGGACUGAGACACGGCCCAGACUCCUACGGGAGGCAGCAGUGGGGAAUAUUGGACAAUGGGUGAAAGCCUGAUCCAGCAAUGCCGCGUGAGUGAUGAAGGCCUUAGGGUUGUAAAGCUCUUUUACCCGGGAAGAUAAUGACGGUACCGGGAGAAUAAGCCCCGGCUAACUCCGUG